ensembl:lncRNA MYHAS myosin heavy chain gene cluster antisense RNA
UCUGUGGGAAGGAAAGGCCAGAAGUGACUCCUGCCGUAGCUGCGGCAGGCCUGGAGGCCGUACUGGGACCUGGCCAAAGACCCAGAAGUCCAGCUUUGAAGAAAACCUGGAGAAAGAGAGAGUCACAAAUCAUCUCCAUACUGCAGGAGAUGCAGAAAUGGCAGAAGGUACUUGGAUCAGGUGUAAAUAAAUAACGAUAUACCUUGAACCCUCUGCACCUGGCCUGGGUUCGGGUAAUCAGCUGGGCCAGCUUGUCAUCUCGCAUCUCCUCUAGGAGCCCCAGAAGACCAGCUUUGAAAAAGACCUGUGAAUGGAAAGAGUUGCAAAUCACAAGCUUUAAUAAAGUUCAAAGGGACAGGAAUAGCAUCAGAAAUGCAAAACCAACCUUCUCGAUGAGCUCGAUGCAGGCAGCCAGGUCCAUCCCGAAGUCGAUGAACGUCCACUCGAUGCCUUCCUUCUUGUACUCCUCCUGCUCCAGCACGAACAUGUGGUGGUUGAAAAACUGUUGCAGUUUCUCAUUGGUGAAGUUGAUGCACAGCUGCUCCAGGCUGUUGAACUAAAUAAAUAGAUAUGUUUACUUCUC